rnacentral:rRNA from 1 species
GGAUGAACGCUGGCGGCGUGCCUAAUACAUGCAAGUCGAGCGAACAGACGAGGAGCUUGCUCCUCUGACGUUAGCGGCGGACGGGUGAGUAACACGUGGAUAACCUACCUAUAAGACUGGGAUAACUUCGGGAAACCGGAGCUAAUACCGGAUAAUAUAUUGAACCGCAUGGUUCAAUAGUGAAAGACGGUUUUGCUGUCACUUAUAGAUGGAUCCGCGCCGCAUUAGCUAGUUGGUAAGGUAACGGCUUACCAAGGCAACGAUGCGUAGCCGACCUGAGGGGGUGAUCGGCCACACUGGAACUGAGACACGGUCCAGACUCCUACGGGAGGCAGCAGUAGGGAAUCUUCCGCAAUGGGCGAAAGCUUGACGGAGCAACGCCGCGUGAGUGAUGAAGGUCUUCGGAUCGUAAAACUCUGUUAUUAGGGAAGAACAAAUGUGUAAGUAACUAUGCACGUCUUGACGGUACCUAAUCAGAAAGCCACGGCUAACUACGUG